CUUACCUGGAUGGGGAUUGUGCUCCUUUUUGGCUAUCACCAGUCACUGGAAGGGGGUAAGCAAAUUACCUUGCAGUGAGAAAGCUUUCAUCUUGACCUGUUAGUCCCUGGAAUCACCCUAGAUGGAUAUAUGAAUCCAGUUCUACCCUUAGAUCAUGAAAGCUGCUACAGUACUUCCCCCUGUGUCAAAGUGGGCUUAGUCCCAAACAAUCACUGUGGGCUUCAUCCAGAGUUCAGCGAGAUCUCUGGGAUUUGGAUCAGACUUGCAACUGGGUCUUACGGUUUGAUAAGAAAAUCAAGUUGCCUUUUUUGUUGUUGGUUCUAGCCAUUUACCAGGAAUCUGGUUGUGCUUCAAACAGCUUAAAGAGAAGAUGUGAUCUGUGGAUGGGGCACUUGGUUCAGGGGAAGGGAAGGAAGUCUGGGUGUAAUACAGUUUUUCACUGGUGUGACAGAUACAGAGCUUAUACUUUUGAGAGACCAAAGUGUUUUCAUUAAUACAGAUAAAUAAGCAAAGCAUGGGCUACCACUUC
rnacentral:lncRNA from 1 species